UAGGUUGAGCCUACGUCGGAUUAGCUAGUUGGUGGGGUAAAGGCCUACCAAAGCGACGAUCCGUAGCUGGUCUGAGAGGAUGACCAGCCACACUGGGACUGAGACACGGCCCAGACUCCUACGGGAGGCAGCAGUGGGGAAUCUUGGACAAUGGGGGAAACCCUGAUCCAGCGAUACCGNUGUGUGUGAAGAAGGCCUUCGGGUUGUAAAGCAC
rnacentral:rRNA from 1 species